AUGUGGUCACCAUGGUUUGUGGACACCGAAAUGGCAGGAAUGUCAAGCGCGGCCUCCCGCUCCGCAAGCGUCUUCCAGCGCCCUGGGGAAGGUCAGGACUGCAGCUAUGAUUCACUAAUGGUUGAUCCAGCUGCCCCUACAUCAUUCUCCUGUCACAUGCUCAGUUCUCCUGACACUAACAUCGGCCAACAUCAUGUGCUGAAGAAGGGUCUUUGGCAGCUGGAAACCAGCCCAGCCACUGCAGCAGGCAGCCAGCAGGCAUCAUCGGUCAUCAGCCCUCCAUCAGGAAGACAAGUUCAGCAAUGGUUCCUGAGAGAGGCUUGGGAUAGGAAAAGAAAGGAUGCUCCUAUAAAGGAAACAAAUGUUCCAAGAUACUUCCAUUAAUUAAGAAAAUCUAGGGCAAUAAUACGCAGUCCUCAAAGUCCUAGAUUAUAAAACCAUUGUGUUAGGUUGAAGCAAGUGUCACAAAGAAAUACAGAAUGCCAUUACUAAGACUUUAAGGUGGCAAACAUACUGAAUGGAAACACCUCUUUCUUAAUGCUCAAAAUACUUCAUGUAGCAUUCAGGCUUCUACUUUAAAUUAAUUAAGUUGUAUGCAUGCUAAGAGCACUUUGGGGACAUUGCAGAGAUCCUCUCUGAAGAGUACAUGAUUUGAAACUAUAGCUAAGAAAAUUCUGUGAAGUGGUGCAACUCUCAGAAAUCAAAUAUAACUAUGCAGGUCAGGUGUGGUGGCUCACGCCUGUAAUCCCAACACUCUGGGAGGUGGGAAGAUCACUUGAGCUCAGGAGAACAGCCUGGGCAGCAUAGUGAGACCCCAUCUCUAAAAAAAUUAGCAGGGCAUGGUGGCACAUACCUAUGGUCUCAGCCACUAGGGAGGCUGAGAUGGGAGGAUCACUUGAGCCCAGGAGGUCAAGGUUGCAAGGAUCCAUGAUCACGCCACUGCACUCCAGCCUGGGCAACAAAGAGAGACCUGUCUCAAAAAAUAAAAACUAAAAAAUAAACA
rnacentral:lncRNA from 13 species